rnacentral:rRNA from 1 species
AGUGAACGCUGGCGGUAGGCCUAACACAUGCAAGUCGAACGGCAGCACAGUAAGAGCUUGCUCUUACGGGUGGCGAGUGGCGGACGGGUGAGGAAUACAUCGGAAUCUACUUUUUCGUGGGGGAUAACGUAGGGAAACUUACGCUAAUACCGCAUACGACCUACGGGUGAAAGCAGGGGAUCUUCGGACCUUGCGCGAUUGAAUGAGCCGAUGUCGGAUUAGCUAGUUGGCGGGGUAAAGGCCCACCAAGGCGACGAUCCGUAGCUGGUCUGAGAGGAUGAUCGGCCACAUUGGAACUGAGACACGGUCCAGAGUCCUACGGGAGGCAGCAGUGGGGAAUAUUGGACAAUGGGCGCAAGCCUGAUCCAGCCAUACCGCGUGGGUGAAGAAGGCCUUCGGGUUGUAAAGCCCUUUUGUUGGUAAAGAAAAGCAGCAGGUUAAUACCCCGCUGUUCUGACGGUACCCAAAGAAUAAGCACCGGCUAACUUCGUG